rnacentral:rRNA from 1 species
GACGAACGCUGGCGGUGUGCUUAACACAUGCAAGUCGAACGGUAAGGCCCUUUCGGGGGUACACGAGUGGCGAACGGGUGAGUAACACGUGAGUAACCUGCCCUCAUCUCUGGGAUAACAGUCGGAAACGGUUGCUAAUACUGGAUAUGAGCUUGCAAGGCAUCUUGUGGGUUGGAAAGAUUUUUUGGUUGGGGAUGGACUCGCGGCCUAUCAGCUUGUUGGUGAGGUAGUGGCUCACCAAGGCCUCGACGGGUAGCCGGCCUGAGAGGGCGACCGGCCACAUUGGGACUGAGAUACGGCCCAAACUCCUACGGGAGGCAGCAGUGGGGAAUAUUGCACAAUGGACGGAAGUCUGAUGCAGCAACGCCGCGUGCGGGAUGACGGCCUUCGGGUUGUAAAACGCUUUCAAUUGUGACGAAGCUUUUUGUGACGGUAGCAGUAGAAGAAGCACCGGCUAACUACGUG